GUGUUUUCUUUUUAUUGAGAAUAUUCUAAUGAUGAUAGUGUUGUUUCAGGCUCAUGUUGGAGAAGGCCUUGUAAUUGAUGAAUGGGAUAUGAUGAAACACAAGGGAUGCCUAUUGGGGGCCACAAGAAAUCUCUUUCCUUAAUUACAAGUCAGGAACUUGUCUUCCUUUCACAACUUGAUUUUAGCCAUUCCAUGGUGUUGAAAACUGUAGGUGUUGUGGAUGUGAAGCAAGCUGAUCCUUAGGGCGACAUCCUGAUAUGGGGACUUUCCAAAUGGGAGCAAAUGUGGGCAGAUUUCAAUGGCCUUGAUUUUUUAAUGUUAAUGAUUUGCUCUUUUAAUUUUUUUUUAUUGAUAAGGCUCCAACGACCUUGAUUCC